GAUGAAGAACGCAGCGAAAUGCGAUAAGUAAUACGAAUUGCAGAAUCCGUGAGUCAUCGAGUCUUUGAACGCACAUUGCGCCCCCUGGUAUUCCGGGGGGCAUGCCUGUCCGAGCGUCAUUGCUGCCCUCAAGCACGGCUUGUGUGUUGGGCCUCCGUCCUCCUCCCGGGGGACGGGCCCGAAAGGCAGCGGCGGCACCGCGUCCGGUCCUCGAGCGUAUGGGGCUUCGUCACCCGCUCUUGUAGGCCCGGCCGGCGCUUGCCGACACAUCAAUCUUUUUUCCAGGUUGACCUCGGAUCAGGUAGGGAUACCCGCUGAACUUAAGCAUAUCAAUAAGCGGAGGA
rnacentral:misc_RNA from 1 species